rnacentral:rRNA from 1 species
AUACGGAGGGUGCAAGCGUUACUCGGAAUCACUGGGCGUAAAGCGCGCGCAGGCGGCUAUUUAAGUUGGAUGUGAAAGCCUACGGCUCAACCGUAGAACUGCAUCCAAAACUAUUUAGCUAGAGUGUGUGAGAGGAAGAUGGAAUUAGUUGUGUAGAGGUAAAAUCCGUAGAGAUAACUAGGAAUACCAAAAGCGAAGGCAAUCUUCUGGAACACUACUGACGCUGAGGCGCGAAAGCGUGGGGAGCAAACGGAAUUAGAAACCCCAGUAGUCC